AACUAAGAAGUGGAAAAAAGGCCAAGUCACAGUUAAUUUUACCAUGGGUCUAUCUAGGUUAAUCGUUGAAGCUGUCGCGAGUGAAUACGAAGCAUACUUUGUAUUUCUCGACAAUCUUGCUUUUGCUCCAGGAAGCUGUGACACAAUACCAAAGGUGGCCAUUCCUAGCAAUGCAUUUGGGGUCUCCAAACUUUACAGCCAGAGGGCCACAUGACUUUCAUCCAGCCUGUUGAGGGCCAACGAAUCGUAUACCGCUGGUCAAAGAGCGAAUAUUUUAAUAAAACGAAGUACAUAACACAAGCUUCAUUAGUUAAGAAAAUAUU